rnacentral:rRNA from 1 species
GACGGAAGGUGCAAGCGUUGCUCGGAAUCACUGGGCGUAAAGGGUGCGUAGGCGGCCGUGCAAGUCUGGCGUGAAAGCCCCGGGCUCAGCCCGGGAAGUGCGCUCGAAACUGCGCGGCUCGAGUGCCGGAGGGGAGAGUGGAAUUCCUGGUGUAGCGGUGAAAUGCGUAGAUAUCAGGAGGAAUACCGGUGGCGAAAGCGGCACGCUGGACCUCUUCUGACGCUGAGGCGCGAAAGCCAGGGGAGCGAACGGG